ensembl:lncRNA
AGAACUCACCGUGGGGAUGGAUGGAACUUUCUGUGAUAAUCCUGCCCUCCACCCAAUCCAGAAAGCUCUCAGCAAUCACGUAAAUAACUGUGUAUAACUUUAAUUGGCUCUGUUUAUAAGCCUCCUCUUGUAUCUUUUUCCCUCUAGGUAUUUUUCCACGUGUUUAUUCUGUCUCCAUUAAUUUGUAAACUCCCAGAGGGCAAGGCCUGAACACAGGUUGGUGUUGGCAUAAAAUGGAUGAACAGUUAGGACCGAAUGGCAGCCUCUGCAGUGUUUCUUGAUUACGAAUCUGACAGUAAAGAAAAGAAAUCCUUUUGUUAGUGCUUUGUUUGUGAUGGUCCUGAGACUGCUAAUCUAAUGUAAAAAUAUAUCCGGUUUCUGCUAGUGUCCAGUUAAGGAAGAUAAAAUCAACAGUUACAAGCUUUCCAUAAUGGGAGGGGGAGGGUGCGGGAGAGCCUGACCUGUACCAAUGGUACAUGAAAGGCAUGUGAUUAUGUGAGUUUAUUUUCUUCAGUGGUAUCUUGUCUUUUCAAGGCUGCAGGUCUAUCUUAGAAGGGAAAUAAUAUUUACUUUCAAAACCGAAAUCUAAAAACCAAACAAAGCCUCAGAAAACAUACAAUACCACCCUGUUCUAAGUUUGUGCUGAGUGGAGGGAAAAUGAAUCUAAUUGAGAAGGCUUCUUUUUUUGUGUGUCUAACAGAAAAUGCCACAGGGUCCAGCUCUCCAGGAUUUCUGGAUAGGUGGAUUGUUCAUUUCAGCCCAGAUAACAAAGGGAAGCAGGGCAAACGCUCUUCUCACCGCGGGAGUAAGAAGUGGGAAUCCUUCCCCGUGACCACCUGCUUCUCUCUCUUCAAACUAGCAAAUAAACUGCCAAAUAGCUGUGUAUCGUUCUCGGCGCAGAGCCCACGGUAUAAACCCAACGUAGGCGGUGCACUAGAUAACAUCAAAGCCCCAGGCAGGGGCCAGAAAAGGGGGGGGGGGGCAAAAGCAGCCGAGGGAAUGAAGCGCCUCCCCCUAGCAUUUCCUCUCACGCCCACUUCCAACCUAGGAGGCUUUUGGUUUCUGCUUUUGUUGUUUUUAAAAUUAAAAGUUAAACGCAGGAAGCUUUGGAUCAGACUUUUGCGUGGCAGUUCGGCACAUGGAUUAACUGAUGGACUUUGGGUUUAUGGAGCCACCUUUUUGUGACCUGCUCUUCCUACAGUUUCUAAGAAGAAAAAGGGGGCCCUGAAUCGAAGAAGAUGCCUCGAACUAAACAGAUUCAUCCCAGAAAUCUAAGAGGUAGGACUCUGCCGGAGAUAGAAGUAGAGUUUACAGUAAAUCGUUAAUAACGUCUCUUUGGUGGCAGGAACGGCGCCUUGUUAGGUGGUGACCCUGCUCUGUGGUUGGUCAGCUCCAGGACCCUGUUCCAUUUUUUGGAUUCACUUCCUCUUGCCCUACACAAUUCCUGUCUCUCAGGAGAUGCUUCAGAGAGAUUUGUUGAAGGAAUUACCUGACUUCGACAAAAUUACAGUGGCUUCCCCGCCGCGAGCAUGGGUAGGGAUGUCUGAGAUUGGUCUUCAUAAGCAUCCUGUUUGGACUGAGACCCCCGAAGUGAGUGGUUGGAUAGGUUUUGCUCUACUGGAUCACCCUGCAUUUUUCCCCACCUCUCCCCCACAUUUCUUUUGAGAUUUACUUUUGUACCGCUCUGCACAUUAGAUUAACAAGAAGGAAAGAGACUUGUAGUUGACAUUAACUCAAACCAUUAUUUGCAGAACUCAGAAAAUAGAUAAACAGAUUUGUUUUCCAUAGGGAAGCAACUGAUCAAAAAAGUAUAUAUGUAUUUAGGAGUUCCCAUCGUGGCGCAGUGGUUAACGAAUCCGACUAGGAACCAUGAGGUUGCGGGUUCGGUCCCUGCCCUUGCUCAGUGGGUUAACGAUCUGGCGUUGCCGUGAGCUGUGGUGUAGGUUGCAGACGAGGCUCGGAUCCCA